rnacentral:rRNA from 1 species
AGAAUCAACGCUGGCGGCGUGCCUAACACAUGCAAGUCGAACGAGAAAGUGGAGCAAUCCAUGAGUAAAGUGGCGCACGGGUGAGUAACACGUGACUAACCUACCCUCGAGUGGGGAAUAACCUAGGGAAACCUGGGCUAAUACCGCAUAAUACCUACGGGUCAAAGGAGCAAUUCGCUUGAGCGAGGGGGUCGCGGCCGAUUAGUUAGUUGGGCGGGGUAAUGGCCCACCAAGACGAUGAUCGGUA